CCUACGGGAGGCAGCAGUGAGGAAUAUUGGUCAAUGGGCGAGAGCCUGAACCAGCCAAGUAGCGUGAGGGAGUACUGCCCUAUGGGUUGUAAACCUCUUUUGUCGGGGAGUAAAAGCCGGACGUGUCCGGCUGUGAGAGUUCCAGAAGAAAAAGAAUCGGCAAACUCCGUGCCCGAAGCCGUGGUAAUAAGGAGAAUGCGAGCGUUUUCCGGAUUUAUUGGGUUUAAAGGGUGCGCAGGAGGAUUGUUAAGUCAGCGGUCAAAUCGUGGGGUUCAACCUCAUCCAGCCGUUGAAACUGGCGAUCUAGAGUGCGCGAGAGGUAUGCGGAAGGCGUGGUGUAGCGGUGAAAUGCAUAGAUAUCACGCAGAACCCCGAUUGCGAAGGCAGCAUACCGGUGCACAACUGACGCUCAGGCAUGAAAGCGUGGGUAUCGAACAGGAUUAGAUACCCCGGUAGUC
rnacentral:rRNA from 1 species